rnacentral:rRNA from 1 species
UGGGGAAUAUUGGACAAUGGGGGCAACCCUGAUCCAGCAAUACCGCGUGUGUGAAGAAGGCCUUCGGGUUGUAAAGCACUUUAGUUGGGGAAGAAGUCUAGUAGUUUAAGAGAUGACUAGAUUGACUGUACCCAAAGAAUAAGCACCGGCUAACUCUGUGCCAGCAGCCGCGGUAAUACAGAGGGUGCAAGCGUUAAUCGGAGUUACUGGGCGUAAAGGGCGCGUAGGCGGUUAUUUAAGUUAGAUGUGAAAUCCCUGGGCUUAACCUAGGAACUGCAUCUGAUACUGGAUGACUGGAGUACUGUAGAGGGUAGUGGAAUUUCCGGUGUAGCGGUGAAAUGCGUAGAGAUCGGAAGGAACACCAGUGGCGAAGGCGGCUACCUGGACAGAUACUGACGCUGAGGCGCGAGAGCGUGGGGAGCAAACAG